rnacentral:rRNA from 1 species
CCUACGGGAGGCAGCAGUGAGGAAUAUUGGACAAUGGGCGCAAGCCUGAUCCAGCCAUGCCGCGUGCAGGAAGAAGCAUCUAUGGUGUGUAAACUGCUUUUGUACAGGAAGAAACACUCCCUCGUGAGGGAGCUUGACGGUACUGUAAGAAUAAGGACCGGCUAACUCCGUGCCAGCAGCCGCGGUAAUACGGAGGGUCCGAGCGUUAUCCGGAAUCAUUGGGUUUAAAGGGUCCGUAGGCGGUUUAAUAAGUCAGUGGUGAAAUCUGGUCGCUCAACGAUCAAACGGCCAUUGAUACUGUUAGACUUGAAUUAUAAGGAAGUAACUAGAAUAUGUAGUGUAGCGGUGAAAUGCUUAGAUAUUACAUGGAAUACCAAUUGCGAAGGCAGGUUACUACUUAUGGAUUGACGCUGAUGGACGAAAGCGUGGGGAGCGAACAGGAUUAGAUACCCUGGUAGUCCACGCCGUAAACGAUGGAUACUAGCUGUUCGGAGCAAUCUGGNGUGNGUAGACGAAGUAGAUAAGUAUACCCACCGUCGGGUAGGUUACGGUUACGUACGAAGAAGUAGAAACGUACGAAAGUAAGUAAGUUAGGUACGGUGAGAGACGUACGACGACGGACGACGACGGGAGGGAGGAGG